rnacentral:rRNA from 1 species
ACACCCGAUGUUCCAUGUAAGCAUGCUCAAGCUAUUCCAUAAGGAUGAGGGAGAUCCAACACUGGCAGAGUCAAAGCGUGCGCCAUUGGGAGCAAGAGCCUUAUAUGAGAAGGAGGUCCAUAGCAUCAUAGCUGAUCGAGAGGUGAAACAAAAAAACUACCAACCAAGACAAAAGUACUUGGUAAACUGGAAGGGAUUUCUAGAUAGUGAGGUGAGCUAGGAACCAGCAGAGGAUUUAUGACAGUUUGGGGACUAGAUCAGGUAGUACCAUGCAAAGGAUGCAACGAAGACAUUGUGCAAUCAGGUGGGGGAGAAUGUCCUGCCCUGGGUGGGCUUGCUAGGCAUAUCAGGCACACAAGCACACGAGCCAGAGGUUGAGGCCUGUACAUCAGGCGCACUGGUAAGUAUUUGCAUGCAAGGCCUGGGAGACAAGGCUAGAAUGUCCUCACAGCCUGUAGGCCAGCCCAUACGGCCAAGGCCUAGCCUGCAUAAUGCCCACACCACUUCCAGAAGGGCCCAAGGUGGGAGAUACAUAAAAGAAUCUUUUGAAAGCCUUCAGGAUCAGCAAAUUUGGUUAACCUUAGAAUUCAAGAGUUAGAAUCCUGAUUAAUUGUAAUCUUUGUAAUUCCUUGAUUCUAGGGAUAUUGCCAUUAAGUGUAGUUGGGGCCUUAACUAUAAAUAGAGGGCUGCUCCACCCUCAUUUGUACACCAUCAUACACUUCUGUUUUAGUGAAUACAAAGCAUAUUCCAGCAAGCUAUCUUGUUUUCCUAUUUUUCUUAAACUUACGCACUCAACCCUUCCCAUUGUUCUAAUGCCCGCACGCUGGUGUUUUAGGCUGACUUAAGCUAUAAGGAGGUGAUUCCAAGCCUAAGGCUGCGUGAAUUUUGAGUCUAAGAUUAGAGCUCGUGACACAAGCACAUGCCUCUACCACCAUCAGCACCUACAAACCCUUAGUGUGGAAUAUGCCAAUUUGAAAAAAAUAUCCCUAUUAUAGACAUUUUAAUGUCUACUACUAGCAUAUCUAUAAAAUCUCUUGUACUUUUUAAGAGGUGCUCAUCCAGGCCCCCUUCUACCCCUCACAGGGGGAGUAGGUGUGUUGGAUAGGCCUAUCACUGUAUACAUCCACAACAACAUUCUUGGAGCGAAAUCCAGGCCAUGCAUGCCUUCUGGCCAUGUUAAAUAGUGACUAAUUGCUUUGGUGACCCAUAAUAGCCCACAACCUCAAUCGGUUGGCUAGCAUACGAAAAUAAGGCUCAACCAUUAAUAUAAGGGCCAAGCCCUCAACCGGAUGGCACUUAAGUGUGUGACCUACACCCAGCUAUUAAGGCAAGGUCCAAGCCCUAAUGAAUAAUAAGGCAUGAUAGUUAUCAUAAAAUUCAAGGCUCGAGCCAAGCAGAGUAACUGUCGGUGUAGAUCUUAUUGGUAGUAGCAAAUAUUUAAAUGAAAACUUUGAAUGCCAAAAAGAGGAAAGGUUCCAUGUGAAUGGCACUUGCACAUGGGAGAGUUUAUCCUAAAAAAUAGGGGAAGCAUGUCCGAAAAAGCACCUAGUGUGAGCUUCAAAAGGGAAUUAGGUUAAAUUUUCUAAGCCAAGACUUGGUGGCUAAUAGCAUCAUUAGGGAGUUUAGAGGCAUUGGUGGGGGCUUCAAAAAGAUUUAUCUUUUUUGUUUAAUAACCUAUCCACCCUAGAAAAGGCUUAGUCGAAGGUAGGGUCCAACGAAUGGAAGAGCAUUACAUAUUGCAUGGCAUCCGAUGCUCCUCUGGUGACCCUUCAAAAUCCAAAAGACCUAGUGCCAUCUGCAUCCGUUCGUACUCAUAACUGUGUCACGUCUCCAAGGUGAAUAGCCUCUGGUCAAUGGAACAAUGUAGGUAAGGGAUGUCAACAAAAUGGAUUCGUAACCUUGGGAAAAGGAUUGACUUUGAUGGCUAGGUAUAGGGGUUCCAGUCUUGAUCCUAUUAGUUACUAGUGCACUGCUCAAGCUACUCUUACAACAAGGGUGGAUUACCAUAUGCUAGCUAGGGAAUGGAAUGGAAAUGGCUCCCUCAAGGACCUUCCUUAGGUGACAAACAGUCAACUCAAAACUAGCAUGGACAAAUGGAAUCUAACUAUUUAAUUAAAACAACCAAGCAUAGGUAAAUGGCUGGAGUGACUAUGACUCUUUUAAGGUAGACAAAUGCCUCAUCAUCUAAUUAGUGAGAUGCAUGAAUGUAUUAACAAGACUUCCACUAUACUUGUUAGCUAUCCAACUAAACCAUAGCCAAGGGAAUGGGCAUCAUGUGAUUAGUGGAGAAAGAAGAUCCUAUUAGCUUGACUCUAGUUUGACAUUGUAGAAUGACUUGAAAGAUGUAGGAUAAAUGGGAGGCAUAAAGAGAAAUUGAAAUACCACUACUUUUAAUGUUAUUUUACUUAUUUCAUGAAUUAGAGGUGAGGCACAGCCCUUUUUUUGGACUUAAGGCCAGCCUCGAUCAGUUGAUCCUAGCAGAAGACAUUAUCAAGUAGGGAGUUUAGCUGGGGUGGCACAUCUAUUAAAGGAUAACAUAGGUGUCUUAAGAUAACCUUAAUGAGACUAGAAAUCUUGUGUGGAACAAAGCAUAAAGGCUUAUUUGAUUUUGAUUUCCAAUAUGAAUAUGAACCAUGAAAGUGUGGCCUAUCGAUCUUUUAGAACUUUGGAAUUUAAACUAGAGGUGUCAAAAAAGUUACCACAAGGAUAACUGGUUUAUGGUAACCAAGCAUUCAUAGUGGUAUUGCUUUUUUAUCCUUCAAUGUUAGCUUUUCCUAUCAUUUUGAAGCAAAAAUUCACCAAGUGUUAAAUUGUUCACCUACUAAAAGAGAACAUAAGCUAAGUUUAGACCAUCAUGAGAUAGCUUAGUUUUACCCUUCUGAUAGUAAUGCCAUAAUAGUAAUUCAACCUAGUAUAGAGGAACCAUUGAUUUGCACAAUUGGUCAUUAUGCAUGGUUAAAAAGGCAAUGGCACAAAGCUAUCAUGUGUUGGAUUUUAACUAAAUACCUCUAAGUCUGAAUCCAAACUAGAAGCAGUGCACGUGCUUAUCUCUUGAUUGUCGACUUAUAAUAGGGGCCUAUGGCCCCCAAAGGCACAUGUCAUAGGUGUAGCCUCUGAGGUGGACAAGCCGUAUAAGCUUUCUUAGAGCU